CCUACGGGAGGCAGCAGUGGGGAAUUUUGGACAAUGGGCGAAAGCCUGAUCCAGCAAUGCCGCGUGUGGGAAGAAGGCCUUCGGGUUGUAAACCACUUUUGUACGGAACGAAACGGUUCGCUUUAAUACAGUGGGCUAAUGACGGUACCGUAAGAAUAAGCACCGGCUAACUACGUGCCAGCAGCCGCGGUAAUACGUAGGGUGCGAGCGUUAAUCGGAAUUACUGGGCGUAAAGCGUGCGCAGGCGGUUAUAUAAGACAGUUGUGAAAUCCCCGGGCUCAACCUGGGAAUUGCAUCUGUGACUGUAUAGCUAGAGUACGGUAGAGGGGGAUGGAAUUCCGCGUGUAGCAGUGAAAUGCGUAGAUAUGCGGAGGAACACCGAUGGCGAAGGCAAUCCCCUGGACCUGUACUGACGCUCAUGCACGAAAGCGUGGGGAGCAAACAGGAUUAGAUACCCUGGUAGUCCACGCCCUAAACGAUGUCAACUGGUUGUUGGGUGCAUUAGUACUCAGUAACGAAGCUAACGCGUGAAGUUGACCGCCUGGGGAGUACGGCCGCAAGGUUGAAACGUCAAAGGAAUUGAAGGCGUGAGAGNGCGAGGACGACGACGAGGGAGGAGG
rnacentral:rRNA from 1 species